CAUGCCACUUCUCUUGCUAUUUGAUCUGCAUUCCUUGCUUUCUCUUCAAAGAUUCUACUGUUCCUCUCUUUCCAUAUGCCAUUCAUGUACUUUGCAUAGAUCAUUUUCAUUGUUCUAUCUGUGCACAACUUCCCUUUGACUUGUGUUAUUACCUAUGCCAUCAUUUGUGUCCAGGAUUUUAUUGGAGCAUCAUGCAUUUGCAGGCAUUUUAAAAGCCUCCACCAUACUGUCUUAGCAAAACUGUAAUCACCAAAUAGAUGCAUAUGUUGUUCAUCUGCUCUAUUAUAUAAGCUACAUCUUGUAUUUACUUAAAUUCCCCAGCUGGUUAACCUAUCUGUUUUUGCCAUAGAUCUAGCUUCAUCGUGAAAUAUUAAGGUUCUCCAUGCCUCCUUGCUGAG
rnacentral:lncRNA from 1 species